GACGAACCGUGCGAACGUUAUUCGGAAUCACUGGGCUUAAAGGGCGCGUAGGCGGGUGAUCAAGUCUGUGGUGAAAUCCUCUCGCUCAACGAGAGAACUGCCCUGGAUACUGAUCAUCUUGAGGAAGAUAGGGGUGUGUGGAACGGGUGGUGGAGCGGUGAAAUGCGUUGAUAUCAUCCGGAACUCCGGUGGCGAAGGCGACACACUAGGUCUUUUCUGACGCUGAGGCGCGAAAGCUAGGGGAGCAAACGGGAUUAGAUACCCCGGUAGUCCUAGCCCUAAACGAUGGGUACUAGAUAGUGGACUUGACAUGGGAUCACUGUCGAAGCAAAAGUGCUAAGUACCCCGCCUGGGGAGUAUGGUCGCAAGGCUGAA
rnacentral:rRNA from 1 species